GAGGGUGUAGCUCAGUGGUAGUGUGCGUGCUUAGCAUGCAUGAGGGUCCUGGUUUCAAUCCCCAGUACCCCCA
rnacentral:tRNA from 1 species